rnacentral:tRNA from 1 species
GCAUUGGUGGUUCGGUGGGGGAAUUCUCGCCUGCCAUGUGGGAAGCCGGGGUUUGAUUCCCAGCCAAUGCA